AAUGAACGCUGGCGGCAUGCCUAACACAUGCAAGUCGAGCGGAUGAAGGGGGCUUUCUCCUGUCUUCAGCGGCGGACGGGUGAGUGAUUCCUAGGAAUCUGCCUUGUAGUGGGGGCUAACGUCCGUAAACGGGCGCUAAUACCACAUACGUCCUGAGGGAGAAAGUGGGGGAUCUUCGGACCUCACGCUAUCAGCUGAUCCUAGGUCGGAUUAGCUAGUUGGUUGGGUAAAGGCCUACCAAGGCGACGAUCCGUAACUGGUCUGAGAGGAUGAUCAGUCACACUGGAACUGAGACACGGUCCAGACUCCUACGGGAGGCAGCAGUGGGGAAUAUUGGACAAUGGGCGAAAGCCUGAUGCAGCAAGGCCGCGUGUGUGAAGAAGGUCUUCGGAUCGUAAAGCACUUUAAGUGGGGAGGAAGGGCAGUAAGUUAAUACAUUGCUGUUUUGACGGUACCAAAAGAAAAAGCACCGGCUAACUUCGUG
rnacentral:rRNA from 1 species